rnacentral:RNase_P_RNA from 1 species
CCAGUUUCACGCUUACAACAAGGGGGUUCCUUUGGAGGAUUUUUAUUCUCCACUCUUUUGCCCUCGGGAAGGUCUGAGUCAAUGGCCGUACAAUGCUCUAGCAGGGCAUCCUUGUAACCAAGGGGUGGGGAAAGAGAAAAAGGCAGUUGCCGCUUUCAAGGUUCUUUUCAUGCUUGGGACGCCGCAAUCAAUGCAAUUGAUUGCGGUUGAGGCGAUAAAGGAAGUUUGAAUUGGGAAAUCCCCAUGGCCAGCAAUCUCAGUGCAAUUUGUAGGGUGGGACUCUUUUUGGUCUCAUAACUCAAUUCAGACUACGUUGAGACUGG